GACGAACGCUGGCGGCGUGCUUAACACAUGCAAGUCCAGCGGUAAGGCCCUUUCGGGGGUACACGAGCGGCGAACGGGUGAGUAACACGUGGGUGACCUGCCCUCAGCUCUGGGAUAAGCCUGGGAAACCGGGUCUAAUACUGGAUAUGACUCCAUGACGCAUGUUGUGGGGUGGAAAGCCUUGUGCGGCUGAGGAUGGGCCCGCGGCCUAUCAGCUUGUUGGUGGGGUGANGGCCUACCAAGGCGACGACGGGUAGCCGGCCUGAGAGGGCGACCGGCCACACUGGGACUGAGACACGGCCCAGACUCCGUACGGGAGGCAGCAGUGGGGAAUCUUGCGCAAUGGGACGAAAGCCUGACGCAGCGACGCCGCGUGAGGGAU
rnacentral:rRNA from 1 species